AGUGAACGCUGGCGGCGUGCUUAACACAUACAAGUCGAUCGAGAACGGGCUAUAGCUUGCUAUAGUUGUCAGCUAAGUGGCGCACGGGUGAGUAAUGUAUAGGUAAUAUGCCUCUUACUAAGGGAUAACAAAUGGAAACGUUUGCUAAUACCUUAUACUCCUUAUUAACAGAAGUUAAUAAGGGAAAGAUUUAUUGGUAAGAGAUUAGCCUGUAUUGUAUCAGUUAGUUGGUGGGGUAAUGGCUUACCAAGACUAUGACACAUAACUGGUUUGAGAGGAUGAUCAGUCACACUGGAACUGAGACACGGUCCAGACUCCUACGGGAGGCAGCAGUGGGGAAUAUUGCACAAUGGACGAAAGUCUGAUGCAGCAACGCCGCGUGGAGGAUGACACAUUUCGGUGCGUAAACUCCUUUUAUAUGAGAAGAUAAUGACGGUAUUAUAUGAAUAAGCACCGGCUAACUCCGUGCCAGCCGCCGCGGUAA
rnacentral:rRNA from 1 species